CUGGCCUGGAACUCGCAGUGAUCUGGCCUCAGCCUCCGGAGUGCUGGGAUUACAGGCUUGAACGUGCCACCAUUCUGCCUCAGCCUCCUGGAGCUUUGGGAUUACAGGCAUGCACCACCAACCAAGCCCCACUUUACAAUUCAUUACUGCCACAUGGACCUUGAACCAUCUCUACUUAAUUCUAUUUGGAUACAUGACUCGACCAUUUUACCCAACUUAGGACCUUGUGCUUUCAAGGUAGGCUUGGUGCCACUAAGAUAAAUCCCCAGCUAAACUAUUGUUUUUGAGACAGGGUCUCGCUAUGAAGUUCAGGCUGGCCUCAAACUGGCAUUGAUCUUCCUGCCUCAGCCUCCCUAUAGCUGAGAUUACAGGCGUGCAUCACCAUGAUCCCUUUUUACACUGGAGUUGUUUUAAACUGAUUUGUUUGGUUUUGGCCUUUAAUGUUGGAUACUUUCUUCACAUAGACACAUUUUGAACUUGAACUUCUGCCAAGGAAUCCUGGGAACUUCUGAAGAACAGCCUGGCAUCCCUCUGCCUGCUUAGCAAGCAGGCCUGCUGAGGUCUAGUUGGACCCUGGCAAAGAACAGGGUUAGUGUAAGGACACUGGGAGCUUCACAAGCUUCCAGGGAGGAUUCAACCACACCACGGU
ensembl:lncRNA